GUUUUAGAAAGAUAAUAGCCAUCUAUU
rnacentral:tRNA from 2 species